rnacentral:rRNA from 1 species
CUUAAAACUCCUAACAGCUAGCCCCCCCCCACCAAGAGCAAAAACCAACAUAAAUUAAACCCAAAUUCCACAAGCAAGACCAAACAAAUCAUUUUUCCCCCUUAGUAUGGGCGACAGAAAAGGACAACAGGCGCAAUAGAAAAAGUACCGCAAGGGAAAGCUGAAAGAGAAAUGAAACCAGUAAAGAGACAGAAAGCAGAGACACAAUCUCGUACCUUUUGCAUCAUGACUUAGCCAGUCCCCCUCGAGCAAAGUGUUCUUUAGUUCGAGCCCCCGAAACUAGACGAGCUACUCCAAGACAGCCUAUCCAGGGCAAACCCGUCUCUGUGGCAAAAGAGUGGGAAGAUCUUUGAGUAGAGGUGACAGACCUACCGAGCCUAGUAAUAGCUGGUUGCCUACAAAAUGAAUAGAAGUUCAGCCUUUAAAUUUUUUUACUUAACAAAGUUAAUUCUUACAAGAAAGACAAAGAAAUUUAAAGAGUUAUUCAAGGGGGGAACAGCCCCCUUGAAAAAAGACACAACUUAAAUAGAAGGCUAAAGAUUAUAUGCUAUAAGGUACCUUACCUUAGUGGGCCUAAAAGCAGCCAUCCACAAAGAAAGCGUUAAAGCUCAAGUACCCUGAUAACUUCAAUACCAACAACAAAAUCUUAAGCCUCUAGCCCACAAUAAUAGGCCUUUUCAUGCUCACAUGAAAGAGACACUGCUAACAUGAGUAAUAAGAGGGACGACCCUCUCCGUGACACCUGUAUAAAUCAGAACGAACCCCCACUGAAAAUUAACGCCCCCAAAACAACGAGGGAAUUGAGAUAGACUAAGGUAAACUAGAAAACCUCCCACUACACCCAGCGUUAACCCCACACAGGUGUGUCCAAGGAAAGACUAAAAGAAAAAGAAGGAACUCGGCAAACAUUGGCCUCGCCUGUUUACCAAAAACAUCGCCUCUUGCAUAAUUUUUAACCUAAAUGUAUAAGAGGUCCCGCCUGCCCUGUGACUAAUAGUUUAACGGCCGCGGUAUUUUGACCGUGCAAAGGUAGCGUAAUCACUUGUCUCUUAAAUGGAGACCUGUAUGAAUGGCAUAACGAGGGCUAAGCUGUCUCCUUUUUCCAGUCAAUGAAAUUGAUCUCCCCGUGCAGAAGCGGGGAUAAAACCAUAAGACGAGAAGACCCUAUGGAGCUUAAGACACAAGGCAGCCCAUGUGAAAACACCUAAAUAAAAAGAGAAAACAAAAUGACAUCUGCCCUUAUGUCUUUGGUUGGGGCGACCGUGGAGAAACAAAAAACCCCCAUGUGGAACAGGAACUCCCCCCUUAAAGCAAGAGCCACAGCUCUAGCAAGCAGAACAUCUGACCAAUAGAUCCGGCAAAGCCGAUCAACGGACCGAGUUACCCUAGGGAUAACAGCGCAAUCCCCUUUUAGAGCCCAUAUCGACAAGGGGGUUUACGACCUCGAUGUUGGAUCAGGACACCCUAAUGGUGCAGCCGCUAUUAAGGGUUUGUUUGUUCAACAAUUAAAGUCCUACGUGAUCUGAGUUCAGACCGGAGAAAUCCAGGUCAGUUUCUAUCUAUGAUUGCUCUUUUCUAGUACGAAAGGACCGAAAAGAGGAGGCCCAUGCUUAAAGCACGCCUCUCCCUUAUCUGCUGAAGACAACUAAAGCAGGUAAAAGGGCAACUAGCCCUGCCUGAGAAAAAGGCAU